rnacentral:rRNA from 1 species
CCUGUACACACCGCCCGUCACACCAUGGGAGCGGGUUCUGCCAGAAGUAGUUAGCCUAACCGCAAGGAGGGCGAUUACCACGGCAGGGUUCGUGACUGGGGUG